AUACGGAGGAUGCGAGCGUUAUCCGGAUUUAUUGGGUUUAAAGGGAGCGUAGGUGGGAUAUUAAGUCAGCUGUGAAAGUUUGGGGCUCAACCUUAAAAUUGCAGUUGAUACUGGUUUCCUUGAGUACGGUACAGGUGGGCGGAAUUCGUGGUGUAGCGGUGAAAUGCUUAGAUAUCACGAAGAACUCCGAUCGCGAAGGCAGCUCACCGGGCCGGAACUGACACUGAUGCUCGAAAGUGCGGGUAUCAAACAGGAUUAGAUACCCUGGUAGUCAGCACAGUAAACGAUGAAUACUCGCUGUUUGCGAUACACGGUAAGCGGCCAAGCGAAAGCGUUAAGUAUUCCACCUGGGGAGUACGCCGGCAACGGUGAAACUCAAAGGAAUUGACGGGG
rnacentral:rRNA from 1 species